ACAAGCAGUGGGAGCACAGGUUUACCUGUGUGACUGCGUACCUUUUGUAUAAUGGGUCAGCGACUUAUAUUCUGUAGCAAGGUUAACCGCAUAGGGGAGCCGGAGGGAAACCGAGUCUUAACCGGGCGUUAAGUUGCAGGGUAUAGACCCGAAACCCGGUGAUCUAGCCAUGGGCAGGUUGAAGGUUGGGUAACACUAACUGGAGGACCGAACCGACUAAUGUUGAAAAAUUAGCGGAUGACCUGUGGCUGGGGGUGAAAGGCCAAUCAAACCGGGAGAUAGCUGGUUCUCCCCGAAAGCUAUUUAGGUAGCGCCUCGUGAAUUCAUCUCCGGGGGUAGAGCACUGUUUCGGCCAGGGGGCCAUCCCGGCUUACCAAUCCGAUGCAAACUGCGAAUACCGGAGAAUGUUAUCACGGGAGACACACGGCGGGUGCUAACGUCCGUCGUGAAGAGGGAAACAACCCAGACCGCCAGCUAAGGUCCCAAAGUCAUGGUUAAGUGGGAAACGAUGUGGGAAGGCCCAGACAGCCAGGAUGUUGGCUUAGAAGCAGCCAUCAUUUAAAGAAAGCGUAAUAGCUCACUGGUCGAGUCGGCCUGCGCGGAAGAUGUAACGGGGCUAAACCAUGCACCGAAGCUGCGGCAGCGAACGUAUCACCCAAGACAACUUUGCACAGUUGACGAUUGACGGAGCGAAGCGACGUCAAAGCGUUUUACAACGUCGAGUUGGCUUAGGGAUACGUUCGUUGGGUAGGGGAGCGUUCUGUAAGCCGUUGAAGGUGGCCUGUGAGGGUUGCUGGAGGUAUCAGAAGUGCGAAUGCUGACAUAAGUAACGAUAAAGCGGGUGAAAAGCCCGCUCGCCGGAAGACCAA
rnacentral:rRNA from 1 species